rnacentral:rRNA from 1 species
GGGGUACACGAGCGGCGAACGGGUGAGUAACACGUGGGUGAUCUGCCUUGCACUUCGGGAUAAGCCUGGGAAACUGGGUCUAAUACCGGAUAUGACCACUGAUCGCAUGGUCGGUGGUGGAAAGAUUUAUCGGUGCGAGAUGGGCCCGCGGCCUAUCAGCUUGUUGGUGAGGUAACGGCUCACCAAGGCGACGACGGGUAGCCGACCUGAGAGGGUGACCGGCCACACUGGGACUGAGACACGGCCCAGACUCCUACGGGAGGCAGCAGUGGGGAAUAUUGCACAAUGGGCGAAAGCCUGAUGCAGCGACGCCGCGUGCGGGAUGACGGCCUUCGGGUUGUAAACCGCUUUUGACAGGGACGAAGCGCAAGUGACUGUACCUGUAGAAUAAGGACCGGCCAACUACGUGCCAGCAGCCGCGGUAAUACGUAGGGUCCGAGCGUUGUCCGGAAUUACUGGGCGUAAAGAGCUUGUAGGCGGUUCGUCGCGUCGUUUGUGAAAACUUGGGGCUCAACCUUAAGCUUGCAGGCGAUACGGGCGGACUA